GGGUGCGAUCAUACUAGCGUUAAUGCACCGGAUCCCAUCAGAACUCUGCAAUUAAGCUCGCUUGGGCUAGAGUAGUACUGGGAUGGGUGACCUCCCGGGAAGUCCUAGUGUUGCACCCU
rnacentral:rRNA from 1 species